UACGUAGGGUGCGAGCGUUGUCCGGAAUUACUGGGCGUAAAGAGCUCGUAGGUGGUUUGUCGCGUUGUUCGUGAAAUCUCACGGCUUAACUGUGAGCGUGCGGGCGAUACGGGCAGACUAGAGUACUGCAGGGGAGACUGGAAUUCCUGGUGUAGCGGUGGAAUGCGCAGAUAUCAGGAGGAACACCGGUGGCGAAGGCGGGUCUCUGGGCAGUAACUGACGCUGAGGAGCGAAAGCGUGGGGAGCAAACAGG
rnacentral:rRNA from 1 species